AACGCAUACACGUCACUGACGUUGGCCCUCUCUAUAAAACUGCUGCCUCCAUUACCACUCUUCUCACACUCUAAACACAUUUGCUUUGUUUGUAUCGCCGUUGCAAUACCGCUGCUGCUGCAGAUCUCUUGAGUCCUGCUUUAAUUCUCCAGAUCCUUAAUGAACUGUUCAUUUAAAGUGUCAAAAAAAAAAAAUAAUACAAAUGAUUGGUUUAUUAGAAAUAUUUCUAUUUGAUCGUACAAGUUACACUAGGCGAACCAUGUGUGGUAGACAAAACCAAGUGACGUUGAGGAAAUUUGAACUUAUGAAAUUACGGUCACAAUUUCAACCCUCACACCACAUUGGGUCAUCAUCUCUUACGGGACAUGUUGCGGAUAAUCCACUCGGCAUCAUUGGCCUAUUAGAAGUGCUGCAUAGGAAAUGUCCCAACAGCGGCGGGGGUGGUGGCGGUGGAGGAGGAAGGUAUGGAGGCAGAGGUGGCUGUUACAACUGUGCGGGGGAAGAAGGCCAUUUUGCUCGGGACUGUCCCAGCUCCACUCGCUGAGGUGCAGUGAGAUGGUACAUACCUCUUUCCGGUGAUGAAUUUAUCGGCUAGUUUAAGUGGUUUAAAUUUGACAAUAAAGAUGUGGAUCUGGUUUUUGUUAUGAGAGGGGCCUGCGUGUAUAAAAAAAAAAGAAAAAAAAAAAGAAAAGAAAUUUAUAUUUUAUUUUGAAGUGGUCCAACAUAA